ensembl:lncRNA
GCAAUGUGGGAGACCCAGGUUCAAUCCCUGAGUAGGGAAGAUCCCCCCUGGAGAAGGAAAUAGCAACCCACUCCAGUACUCUUGCCUGGAAAAUCCCAUGGACGGAUGGAGUAGCCUGGUAGGCUACAGUCCAUGGGGUCGCAAAGAGUCGGACAUGACUGAGCGACUUUACUUUCACUUUCAUUGAGAAAAAUAUUUUCCCCUCUACAAUCCAUUAUAAUUGAUCUUCCUUCUCAACUGAAGACAUGUCAGAAAACUGGACUUAACAGCUUUAGGCGAUAGAUUCAUUAGAUUCUGGUCAGAAUUUUCUAUAAAUAUGCAGAGUACAUCAUGCAAGAUUCUGGGCUGGAUGAAACACAAGAAAGCUGAGUGCUGAAGAAUGGAUGCUUUUGAACUGUGGUACUGGAGAAGAGUCUUGAGAGUUCCUUGAACUGCAAGGAGAUAAAACCAGUCAAUCGUAAAGGAAAUCAGUUCAGAAUAUUCAUUGGAAGGACUGAUGCUGAAGCUGAAACUCCAAUACUUUGGCCACCUAAUGCAAAGAACUGGCUCAUUGGAAAAGACCCUGAUGCUGGGCAAGAUUGAAGGCAGGAGGAGAAGGGGACAACAGAGAAUGAGAUGGUUGGAUGGCAUCACCGAUCCAAUGGACAUGAGUCUGAACAUGCUCUGGGAGUUGGUGAUGGACAGGGAAGCCUGGCGUGCUUCAGUCCAUGGGGUCACAAAGAGUCGGACAUGACUAAGUGACUGAACUGAACUGAUGGGUGUUAUAUUUGUUUAUGCUCAAUAUCUGAUCUGUGGCAUCUAACUCAUGGUUUGUCACAUAAUAUCUACUCAAUAAAUAGUUUUGGAAGACGUGAGUGGACUGCCUUUAGUCCACAUCAAGCACUGUAACUCAUUUUCUACCUAAUGUCCCUUCAGAUCUUUGAGAAGCAUCAUGCUCCCCACUCUGACUCAGAUGUUCUCACUUCAGAAAUAAUAAUGCCAUUUGUUUAUUCAAUCAACCUUUAUGUUAAAUGUUUUCUGAUCUUUUAUAACCCCAUUCACUCCUCCUUGAAUGGAGUUUUCAUUGUCUAGGUAAAUACAAAUAACUCUGAAAAUGAUAUGUUCAGAAAUAAGCCCAAUAGUCAAGUUAAUAAUUUUUUUCCCUCUAUACAUGCCAUUCAACUUUCUUGUUCAUACAGUUCUAUAGAGAGUAGAUUAGCUAAUAAAAUAGUCAUCAUGGAACCAUUCCUUGUAAUUAUAAGACCACCACUCUAAUCUGUUUAACCAGGCAACUUAACAAAACUCUCUGUCUGUUUUAGUGUAUAAUACAAAAACCCAAUUUUAUUCAAUUUCACUUAUAGCAAAAUAUAUAUAUA